rnacentral:rRNA from 2 species
GUCUUUUUGUAGUGUAUUAAAAGUCUAACCUGCCCAUUGAAAAAUUUUAAAAGGCUGCGGUAUUUUGACCGUACAAAGGUAGCAUAGUCAUUAGUUUCUUAAUUAGAAACUUGUAUGAAUGGUUGAAUGAAAUAUUAACUAUUUUAGUUUAAAAAUUUGAAUUUUACUUUUUAAUUAAAAGGUUAAAAUAAUUUUAAAAGACGAGAAGACCCUAUAGAGUUUAAUAUUUAAUUAAAUAUUAUAAAAUAAGAUAAUAUAUUUCUAAUAUUUAUUUAAUUAUUUUGUUGGGGUGAUAAUAAAAUUUAAAAAACUUUUAUUAAUUUUACCAUUAAUAAAUGAUUUCAUUGAUCCGUUAUUAACGAUUAAAAAUUUAAAUUACCUUAGGGAUAACAGCGUAAUUUUUUUUUAAGUUCAUAUUAAUAAAAAAUUUUGCGACCUCGAUGUUGGAUUAAGAUUUAAUUUUAGGUGCAGCAGUUUAAAAUUUAAGUCUGUUCGACUUUUAAAUUCUU